rnacentral:lncRNA from 1 species
UAUUUGUUAUAAAAGGAUUUGCUCGGUAUCAAGAAGAUACAAACGAUUAAUAUCCUCUUUACUGUGAAUAUUGUGUUUUUAACGAUCGUUCAUUAAAUAUGAAUUCUUUCGUUUUUUAUUUGAUCACAUUUUUAUUAGCGACAUUAUUAUUAUUGUCAACAAUUGCUCAUCCAUUGGAUGUCGAUACCGAUAAGUUAAUAAAUUUAUCUCAGAAUGGAACUGAAGUCAAGUUACCUGAAAUUAAUCUACCUAAAGAAUUAGAUCAUUUGUUGGGUGAUGUCACACCGACAGAUUGACUAGAACUACAAAAUCUUUUAUCAAUGACGUCGAAAACUGCUUCUAUAAUAAAUCCACCAUCAAGAUCCUGUCCUGAUAAUCAAAAAAUUGACGAAUAUGGAAACUGCCGUAUACAAGUAACAUAAAAAUGAAUAAUCUAAUCAUUAUUCUAUCGAUAAUUAAAUUCAUUUGCAAUAAUUCUCUCUAAUAAAACUGUCCGAUUAGGUAUAAUGAUAUGAUUAUCAAUAAAUUCCCUCAAGUGUGUGUUA